rnacentral:rRNA from 1 species
CCGGUAAACGGCGGCCGUAACUAUAACGGUCCUAAGGUAGCGAAAUUCCUUGUCGGGUAAGUUCCGACCUGCACGAAUGGCGUAAUGAUGGCCAGGCUGUCUCCACCCGAGACUCAGUGAAAUUGAACUCGCUGUGAAGAUGCAGUGUACCCGCGGCAAGACGGAAAGACCCCGUGAACCUUUACUAUAGCUUGACACUGAACAUUGAGCCUUGAUGUGUAGGAUAGGUGGGAGGCUUUGAAGUGUGGACGCCAGUCUGCAUGGAGCCGACCUUGAAAUACCACCCUUUAAUGUUUGAUGUUCUAACGUUGGCCCCUGAUCGGGGUUGCGGACAGUGUCUGGUGGGUAGUUUGACUGGGGCGGUCUCCUCCUAAAGAGUAACGGAGGAGCACGAAGGUUGGCUAAUCCUGGUCGGACAUCAGGAGGUUAGUGCAAUGGCAUAAGCCAGCUUGACUGCGAGCGUGACGGCGCGAGCAGGUGCGAAAGCAGGUCAUAGUGAUCCGGUGGUUCUGAAUGGAAGGGCCAUCGCUCAACGGAUAAAAGGUACUCCGGGGAUAACAGGCUGAUACCGCCCAAGAGUUCAUAUCGACGGCGGUGUUUGGCACCUCGAUGUCGGCUCAUCACAUCCUGGGGCUGAAGUAGGUCCCAAGGGUAUGGCUGUUCGCCAUUUAAAGUGGUACGCGAGCUGGGUUUAGAACGUCGUGAGACAGUUCGGUCCCUAUCUGCCGUGGGCGCUGGAGAACUGAGGGGGGCUGCUCCUAGUACGAGAGGACCGGAGUGGACGCAUCACUGGUGUUCGGGUUGUCAUGCCAAUGGCACUGCCCGGUAGCUAAAUGCGGAAA